UACGUAGGGAGCAAGCGUUGUCCGGAAUCAUUGGGCGUAAAGCGCGUGUAGGCGGCUUGAUAAGUCUGCUCUGAAAGCCCGGGGCUCAACCCUGGGAGGCGGGUGGAUACUGUCGAGCUCGAGUCCGGAAGAGGCGAGUGGAAUUCCUGGUGUAGCGGUGAAAUGCGCAGAUAUCAGGAGGAACACCAAUGGCGAAGGCAGCUCGCUGGGACGGUACUGACGCUGAGACGCGAAAGCGUGGGGGAGCAAACAGG
rnacentral:rRNA from 1 species